rnacentral:rRNA from 1 species
CUGAUAAAAAUAUUAAAGGGCUGCAGUAUUUUGACUGUACAAAGGUAGCAUAAUCAAUAGUCUCUUAAUUAGUGACUUGUAUGAAAGAUUGGAUGAAAUAUAUAUUGUCUCUUAUUUAUAUGAAGAAUUUAAUUUUUUGAUUAAAAAGUCAAAAUUUAUUUAAAAGACGAGAAGACCCUAUAGAGUUUAAUAUUUUUAUUAAUUAAGAUUUUAUAUUUGAAUAAUAAUUGAAAUUAUUGAAAAUAUUUUAUUGGGGUGAUAAAAAAAUUAAUUUAACUUUUUUUUAAAAUUUUACAUUAAUAAGUGGUUAUAUGAUCCAAAAAUUUUGAUUAUAAGAAAAAAUUACCUUAGGGAUAACAGCGUAAUUUUUUUUUUUAGUUCAAAUAAAAAAAAAAGUUUGCGACCUCGAUGUUGGAUUAAAAUAAAAUUUAUAUGCAAAAGUAUAAAAUUUUGAUCUGUUCGAUC